ACUUGGGUGGCUCAGUCGGUUGAGCGUCUGACUUCAGCUCAGGUCAUGAUCUCGCAGUUUGUGAGUUCAAGCCCCACAUUAGGCU
rnacentral:tRNA from 1 species